rnacentral:tRNA from 1 species
GGCCCCAUCGUCUAGUGGCCCAGGACACAUGGUUCUCAGCCAUGGAACAGGGGUUCGAUUCCCCUUGGGGCUACCA